UACGUAGGGUGCGAGCGUUGUCCGGAAUCACUGGGCGUAAAGGGCGCGUAGGUGGCGCGGGCAGUCAACGGUGAAAGUUCGGGGCUCAACCCUGAAUCGGCCGUCGAUACUCCCGGGCUUGAGCACUGUAGAGGCAGAUGGAAUUCCGGGUGUAGCGGUGGAAUGCGUAGAGAUCCGGAAGAACACCGGUGGCGAAGGCGGUCUGCUGGGCAGUUGCUGACACUGAGGCGCGACAGCGUGGGGAGCGAACAGG
rnacentral:rRNA from 1 species